GAAGCAGCAACGCCGCGUGAGGGAUGAAGGCCUUUGGGUUGUAAACCUCUUUUACCAGGGACGAUGAUGACGGUACCUGGUGAAUAAGCCACGGCUAACUACGUGCCAGCAGCCGCGGUAAUACGUAGGUGGCAAGCGUUGUCCGGAUUUACUGGGCGUAAAGAGCGCGCAGGCGGUUGAUUAAGUCGAAUGUGAAAGCCCCCGGCUCAACUGGGGAGGGUCAUUCGAUACUGAUCAACUUGAAGGCAGGAGAGAGAAGUGGAAUUCCCGGUGUAGUGGUGAAAAUGCGUAGAUAUCGGGAGGAACACCAGUGGCGAAGGCGACUUCUUGGCCUGUUCUUGACGCUGAGGCGCGAAAGCUGGGGGAGCAAACGGGAUUAGAUACCCCGGUAGUCCCAGCCGUAAACGAUGGACACUAGGUGUUGGUGGUAUCAACCCCGCCAGUGCCGUAGCUAACGCAUUAAGUGUCCCGCCUGGGGAGUACGGCCGCAAGGCUA
rnacentral:rRNA from 1 species